rnacentral:rRNA from 1 species
UACGUAGGGCGCAAGCGUUGUCCGGAAUUAUUGGGCGUAAAGAGCUCGUAGGCGGUUUGUCGCGUCUGUCGUGAAAGCUUGGGGCUUAACCCCAAGUCUGCGGUGGAUACGGGCAGACUAGAGGCAGGUAGGGGAGAACGGAAUUCCCGGUGUAGCGGUGAAAUGCGCAGAUAUCGGGAGGAACACCGGUGGCGAAGGCGGCGACCUGGGCCAAUAUUGACGCUGAGGUGCGAAAGCGUGGGGAGCAAACAGG